AUUGCAAAAAUGCCUUUUUAAUUUUUUUUUCACAUCGAAAUGAAGGUUUCUAAAAGUUUAAAAAUUGAGGUACUUUUUGUGGAUGAAAAUUGGUCAAUUUGUUGGUGAAAUAUUGUAAUUUGUUUAUAUCAACAGACAUGAAUAAUUAUUGUCAUAAUUUUUUAUUUAUUUAUUAAUAGUGUAAUUAAUAUCUUUUUUGUCUAUUUCUGCAGAUCGUUCAACAACUGAGAGAGAAAAUUCAAGUUGAUUGUAUCGAAACAACUAAUGUCUACAAUGAUGUUGUCGUUCUUGGACUAUAUUCUUGAUUUGCUGUUUUCGUCUUCACUUGUCAGCAUCAUGCAGUAAAUUUUCAACAGAUAAAUGAGAUCAAGAGGAAGGUUAUUUGAAUUCCACUGAAAGGACAAGCUUUCUGCUAGGGUAUUCUUCCUGGAUUUGGUUUGCUUUUUACACCUGCAAACAUUGGAACAUGGCAGUCUACUGUUCGUUAAGAUUAGCCUGUUAUUGAAAGCAUAUUGAAGUUUCCUUGGAUAUUACUGAGUGUCCCCAAAUGGAUCGUGUACGGUGAUGUGUUCUUACUACACUUCGUUUACCCUUGUCGUCUUCACAUGGAAAAAUUUUCUACAUAAAUAAUAAUAAGUAAAUAGAUUGACUGAUGAAUGAGAGAAUAUUGGUUUAUUUGGGCCUUGCUGUAUCAACCAAUUGUCUGCAAUGGUAUUCGUUUUCCUGGACUUGAUAUACUGUUGACAUUUUCACCUUGCAUUUGGAAAUUUAUUUAUUUAUUCACAUAUUUCAACUUUGGAACGUGACAUUCUGCAAUUAAUUAAGAUUAGCCUGUUAUUGAAAGAAUAUUGAAGUUUCCUUGGAUAUUACUGAGUGUCCCCAAAUGGAUCGUGUACGGUGAUGUGUUCUUACUGCACUUCGUUUACCCUCGUCUUCACAUGGAAAAAUUUUCUACAUAUUUAAGAUCGUCCAACAGAUGAGAGAAAAUUAAAGUUCAGGUUGAUCACAUUGAAGCAACCAAUAACUGGUGUUGUCUUUCUUGGACUGUAUUCUGGAUUUGCUGUUUUCAUCUUCACCUUGCAACAUUAUGCAGUUAAUUUUCAACAGAUAAGUGAGAACAAGAGAAGAUUUUCUUCAAUUCCACUAAAAGAGCAAGUUUUCUUCUUUGGCAUUUUCACUGCAUUUGGUUUGCUUUGCUAUUCACACCUGCAAACUUUGGAAUGUUACAAUCUACAGUUAAUUAAGAUCGACGUUGGAGAAGACAAAAAUGACCCCAUAGUUGAUAUAGUUCUCUAUCUUGCAUGCUCUAUAUAGUAGAAUUCAUCAAGUUUGUUUUAUUCAAAUUAGUUUUUUAUUUUGCAUGUUUUUUUUGUAGUUAAUUUGAAAUAGUUUUUAUU